GGAUCAGUGAAUUUUCAGCUGACAGUACGCCUUGCAGCCCUUAGGAUCUUUCUGUGCCCCAGCGAGACCCUUCCCGCCCCACUGCAUUGUAACCCCAUUCCUGAUCACCCCGUGGGAUCCAUAGUCAGAUCUGAAGAGGAGUCCAGAGAGCCCAGCCGCACCCUGAAGCUCCUCCUCCACUGGGAACCGAAGCAGAAGACCGAUUAAGAAGGUCCUGAUGACAGGACCUCUAUGGGUCCAACCGUUGGGUCUCCCGCAGUACCCUCUUGUAGUCCUCUUCCCACCCGCCGCCUCGGACUGCGCUGCCACCGCCACCGCUGCCCCAGACCCCCGGCCGCGCAUCGCCGCCAUUUUUUAAAGGAUCUGAGGCCUGACUCUCCGAAGCAAGCUGGGAGUCGGCCUUGCCAGUGCGCAUGCGCAAGGCCUGAGCCUCCGCUUUGGUCGUAGUGAUUGACACUGUUGCCCGGGGAUGGGUUUCUGAGACUUUGCGAAGUAGGAGCCCCGUGUGAUAGUGCGUCAGGGUCAAGUCUGAGAGCAGUCCUGGCCAGGGCAUUAACAGGAUGGUCUCCGGAGCCUGGGAUUCUCGGAGGGUCGACCACCAGGAAGAAACCUCACAAGGAAGAAACCUCAGGCGGAUCACCUGGGCGGCAGCGCGAGAUCCCAGCCUCAGGCCUGGAUUCGGGGAGAGUUGACGAGGCCUCUCUCCCAAUCUUCACUUCACCCGCCGCCGCCCUACUCCCGCAGCCGCCGCUCCACGGUCAUU
rnacentral:lncRNA from 1 species